UACGUAGGAGGCAAGCGUUGUCCGGAAUCACUGGGCGUAAAGCGCACGUAGGCGGCUUUUUAAGUCAGAGGUGAAAUCCUGGAGCUCAACUCCAGAACUGCCUUUGAUACUGGAGAGCUUGAGUCCGGGAGAGGUGAGUGGAACUGCGAGUGUAGAGGUGAAAUUCGUAGAUAUUCGCAAGAACACCAGUGGCGAAGGCGGCUCACUGGCCCGGUACUGACGCUGAGGCGCGACGGCGUGGGGAGCGAACGGG
rnacentral:rRNA from 1 species